ensembl:misc_RNA Metazoa_SRP Metazoan signal recognition particle RNA
GCGGGGCACGGUGGCGCGUGCCUGUAAUCCCAGCUACUCAGGAGGCUGAGGCAGGAGAAUUGCCUGAACCCAGGAGGCGGAGGUUGCAGUGAGCCAAGAUCGUGCCAUUGCACUCCAGCCUGGGUAGCAAGAGGGAAACUCCGUCUCAAAAAAAAAAGAAAAGAAAAAUGGAAGAACACAGACUACCUGAAUUCCAGGCUUUUUUUUAUUUUUUAUUUUUUGGAAACAAAGUUUGGUUCUGUCACCCAGGCUGGGAAUGCAGUGGCAUGAUCUCAGCUCACUGCAACCUCUGCAUCCUGAGUUCAAGAGAUUCUCCUGCCUCAG